rnacentral:sRNA from 1 species
ACCAAAGAACUCAUGGUUUGACUUAGGAAAUGCCAAGAUGAGAGCAUAACAUACACCCAGUUUGUUACAACAGCACUAACCACUGCCUUCUUCUCUGAACAGGAGUUUCAGCAAUUGUUAUCUUGAUUUUGUUUCUGUGUUGAUCAGUGGGUUCUGGAGAAUUGGGAGUAUAGACCAUGAGGAGACACAACCAAACCCAGGAUUUGUUCAUGUCUCUGUGAGGGUCUAGACUUGGGGCUGGGAGCAGAGCUUACAGUGACUGUGAGUAACUCUAAUUUUUAGUGAGGACCAGUAGCAUCAUUUUUGCCAGGGAUUUUUUUAAUAAUAUGGGAGAGGGUGUAAAAUGAAAUGUGUGUCUCAAGCAGACAGAACCUAAAAUUCAGCAGAGGGAAGCAGGUUGUUGUUCCUGUUUUGUUUUUUUUUUAUUUUUUUUGUUUGUUUGCUAUCUUGUGUUUCCACUUCUGAUAGUCUGUCCUUGUGGGCUUCUUCAAUCAACACUCUGUGGCUGUAAAGCUGUCCAUCGGCUCUUCUUUGCUCAUUUCUUACAACUGGAGUGAUACUCCAGCCAGUCCAUCCCCUGCCCAGUCAGAUGUGCUGGUUUGAGUAUAAGACCGAAAUAGAAGCAAUUAGAACUUCCUUUGGAGUUACAGACAUUGUGAGUGAUUGGCUAGCUGGGAGCCUCUCCCUUGCUUGUUUAGAGAAUACCCAUUACAGUGGAAGGAAAUGAGGUCAAUAUACUGGUUGUUGUGACAGGGACCUGAAGGGAAGGAGAGAAACUGGAGUGUGACCUCCUUUGAGAUUCAGCUGAGCAUGAAGCCCUGCACACCCAAUCUCAUGAAGGAGUGAAUUCCCCCCUUCUAUUAAAUUAGUUUGCAUUGAGUUUCUACAACGUACCCCCCCAAAAAAAGAUAAGAUACCUUAACUCCUGUAACUACGUCUAAAAAGUCUUCAAAGCACAGAACUUCAUAUUCAUUGCCUAGAGGAACAGUAUAAUGUACUGAGCUUCCCUAAAUUGGUAAUGUAUAAUUUAAAGCGAAUUACAUGGGAUUUUCCUUGUAGCUAAGGAGGCUGAACCAUGUAACUAUGAGAGCUUUCACUCUCAACCUCUUAAGUACGUGACAACUGAGAAUCUAGCUAAAGGCUUCAGGGUGAUACGUAACUGCUCCACAAGAAAACUGAAAUCUUCAUUUUGAAAUAGAAACCUAUUUUAAUAACUUUCUGUAGGUAUAGAAAUUGCUAUUUUAUAUGAAAUGCCAUUAAAAUGAAAAAAUACAGGAAGGAGAGGUAUAUAAUGAUGAUUAGUGAGUUGUUAACAUUGUAUUUAAAAGGGUCUAAUAUUAUGCUACCAGACAUAUAAGAUGAGUGUUAGGAGGCAAGCUACAAAAUGUUUCCAAUACACAUGCCACAUGUAGCAGAGAUUACACAAACCAACCCAGUACUGUUUCUCCUUCCUGGAAGGCACAGAGUGCACAAAUUUACCAUUUGUUUAUUUCUGACUCUACUAGCCACGAUUCUCUGAAUGGACAAAUAAUUUCAGAAUGGUCAAUAUUUAAAACGUGACAGUUAACGAGAGAAAGUACUCACUUGGAUUCAGAAUGACUAUAUAAGAUUUUUUUUCAAACAAUAUGGAAAAUAGGUCUUGAGGAACAAAUGUAUAGAGAGGAGGGAGAAAUGCAGAAGACACAGCAGAACACUACGAUGGAGACCAUGAUGGAAAAGUGAAAAUCCUGGCUCUAUGCAGAAGAGGAAGGAGAAAGAUGUUAAAGUCUGGAUGUGGUGAAUGACUCCAAGGAAACAGUGCUUUCCACAUGCAGCGAGGCUGACGAGCAUGUGAACUCCGAGACUGUGACAGCUUGCGUGAGACCUGCACAAGGUCAAAAAUUGUUGCACAAAGAAGAAGUAGCCACAAAGUCUGACCCCCGAACCAAGAAGCUGUUUGUAAUUGACAUGCUGAGGUUGCCUAAGCUGGUCUUCAAAUCCUGGACUCAAGGGAUCCUUCCAUCUCACCUUCCUAAAGAGGACGGAGAAGGAACUCAUGCCAUAGUCCACAGGUAUGUUUCCUCUACUUUCAUAUGUUCGAAAUUUUACACUUCCAAGCUAUUAGCAACAAAAACGUGGGGGAAUGAAUUCAGGUAAAUAGCCAUUAGAAUUCACAAGAAAGAAGAGAAACUAUUAGGGCCAAGGACCUGCAGGAAAAGUGGGAGCUUGAAGGACUGGGUUGGGGUUGAAAGUCUUCUCUUGUUGAGGCAUUCAAAUAGGUACAGUGUCGAGAGAAGAGGAAACAACGGACAUCAUAGGUGAUUCAGGGCUCAGAAAGAGCGGUGUUAUACUGACGUCAUAUUCAAGAAGUGAGGACAGUGAGCGAGUGCUGUCUGUGGAAAGCCUGAAAAGUGGUAGGAACUGACUAGAGAAUUCCACGAGCCAGAAGCCCAGCUCCUCAUCAAAACAGAAAAGUGAUGUGGAAAAGGCAAGGAGGCAGAUGAUAACUUGUCCAGACCACUAGGACAGGCACCACCUCCAGAUUAUAUCCCUUUGUUAUCAGCCAUUCCCACAAGGUUUUGACAAUGUUAGGUCUCUAGGAUACCUUAGAGAAACCAUUCUGCAAGACUGUUUGUCAAGUGUUGCCAUAAAGUUGCCUACAGGUUGAUACCAUGUGCUUCAUUGGUUUUAGGUGUUUGUUUGUUUGUUUUUGUAUGUUUGUUGCUUUCUUCAAAGUUGUAAGUGAAAAACAAUGAUAAGAGACAUCUUAUUACUAAGUUAUUGGCCUUAGUUACACUGAGGUUAAGGACCAGUGUGUCAUCCCUUCUAGUCUUUAGAGAUUAGAAAUAGCAAAGAAAAAUGUUGCCAUUUUUCCAAAGCUAUAUUUUGCCUUGGCUUACAAAAAGUCUUCAAACAUUUUGGUGUGAUUUCCCUUUCUUAUCAAUCAAUUAUUUUAUUUAUUAUUACAUCCCAAACGUUGUCCCCUUCAGGUCACACCUGGAAGAGUUCUUUCCUUCAUGCCCCCAAAGUUUUUUUUUUUUUUUCAUUUCAUGUAUGUGAGUUGGUCUGCAUGUGUACUAUGUAUGUGCAGUGCCUGAGGAAGCCAGAAGAGGUGUCAGAGGCCCUGGAACUGGAGUUACAGAUGGUUGUG